GCUGGGAUGGAGCGCGCCUUGGCUCGCUGGCCUUGGCCGCAGCUCCUCCGAAGAACUGGGGCGCCCACGCGAGAAUCUCCCCACCAGGUUCUCUCUUCAGGGAUGACAUCACCACUCAACUCCUUGUCUUCAAGGACCACCUCUCGAUGCCCAGCUGCUGCCAAGGUGCUUGCUGCUCAUCUCCACCUUAUGUUGCAGAGGAUGACAGGAGCGCCGAUUCCCAAAUCCCACCAGCACACCAAGCAGCCCCUGGCAGACGCUCCCCGGGACCAGGACCACAGAGGCUGAAGAAGACCAGAACUGACCAGCCAGUUGUUCCUCUUGGCUAAAGACUUAAACCAAUGCCCUAGUGAGGGGGCAUUGGACAGUAACCCCUGACCUUUGCUAUGCUUGUGCCUGUUGCUAUGAGUACUUUCCUGUAAGUCUCUGCUUGUGUUAAUGUGCCAGCGACCUGGAGUGUUUCCCUCCCCAAGAAGGUGUCAGUCUUUCUCAGCUGACCCUGUUGUUGCCCGUCUGAUGUCCUGAAUGGAAGGAUCCCUUUGGGAACUUCUCAGGAGGGGGACCUGGGCCAAGGGCUCCGCCAGCAUCUCUGGCAAUUCCAAGGCCCAGGUAGGCUUCUGGAAUGAGCAUGAGCCCUGACGUCAUGGGCAUCCCCUCCCCUUUUGAUAUCUCCCGGUCCUUUCCGUGGACUGGUGAUGAGAAGAGCAACCUCCCAGGGUUGUUGUGAGUAUUAAAUGAGCCAAAUCAGCCUGGGGCAGGGCUGGGCAUAGAGGAGGCAGCCAGCAAGUGUGUUUGAAAGCUCGGUACGUCAGUCCAUCCCCACCUCUGUCACUGGUCUCACACCUCUCGUUUAUUCUCCCACAGCGCUUCGACAGCCCCUGUCCACGGGGCUCUCCUUGCACAGCUUCUCGAAAGGCCUGUCUCCACUUGCUGUCUUCCUUCCUCACCUCCAGCUUCCUCUUCAACCCACUGCUUCCUGCCUUCUCUACUCCAUCGAGCGGCUUUCACUAAGGUGUUGCCAUGGCCUGCCCCGUCCCCAAGAGUCCUGGGCUCUGCCCACCCCAAGUCACCCCUGGUUUCGAGUUGGUUUGGGGGCCGCCACCCAGGCCCAUGGCUUUUCCUGUCAUUGCUCAAACCCAUGAGCCACCUCCCUCCGCCGCAGAGCAUUCGUCAGGCUUGGCCCUUGGCCGGGUCAGCUGAAGAGCUGGACAGAAGAGGCAGAGGAGCCCCGAGGACUAGCGCCCUGGACCACGCCCUCCUUCCUGACAGUCCCCUGCGUCAUGUGCCCCGCCUGUCGCCUCCCGGUUUGGGCCGAAUCCAUCGUCCGGAAUCCUUCGUGGGAUGAGACCUCAGACAUAACCCCAGCAUCUGCCACCUGUAAAAUCCCUCCACAGCCACGGGGACGCCCUGCACAUUCCCACGAGACAGGCUGGACCCAAAGACUCUGGACCUGGGCUGCCCCCUGCGAGGAGGGGGUGUGCCCUCCUCAGCUCCCCCUGCAGUAACCGCCCACCCCUUGGCUGAUGGACUUCACUGAUCUGAGGGUCAGGCACGCCGCUUGACCCCCGCCCACCCCUCACCAGCCCUGGGACUUAGGGGACGGCGGUGCUUCGACGUCGCGUCUGUGAAAUCGGCUCUGCACCUACCUCACAGGGUUGUUGUGAGGAGCCUGUGAGGCGGCUUGAAAGUGCCACACCCUACUGUGCUCUCAAUA